rnacentral:lncRNA from 1 species
CUGCCUCAGCCUCCCGAGUAGCUGGACUACAGGCACGUGCCAUACCGCCCGACUAAGUUUUUGUAUUUUUAGUAGAGACGGGGGUUCACCGUGUUAGCCAGGAUGGUCUCGAUCUCCUGACCUUGUGAUCCGCCCACUUCGGCCUCCCAAAGUUCUGGGAUUAGAGGCGUGAGCCACCAUGCCUGGCCAAGAUAUGAGGGAAAUCAUCCAUUUUUAUGCUUAGGUUCCACAAGGUAUGGACAGCCAUGCAGAAAUAGAAUUGGGCAAAUAGGGUCGGAGCUAAUGAGAAGAGCCUAAGUGGGGACACCCAGCCAGGCCUGUCUGUCUAGAUUCUUAUGGCCUCUCUGAGCAGUCUUCCUUCCUUCCUUCCUUCCAUCCAGGACCCUCUCUGGAGUGAGGGUCUUAAGAUCUACAGUCUAACAAGGUAGGUCAGAUCAUUUCUUCAUGGCUGGGUUUUACACAGAAAGGCAGAAAGAAAAUUAGAGUCAUAUUUUUUAAGUGUUAUAGCUGGCUUUGGGUUCUAGUUUCUAUGACUCACCUUGAGGAAGAGGGAUUCUAGUUUCUAUGGCCAGACAGGGGAGAAUGAGGGGCUAGAGACAGAGGGCCAGAGAAGGUCAGAGAAAACUUUUUGCUUCUGAGGCUGCUUAGGAUGUCCUCAUUUUGGGUCUUGUUUUCUGAGCCUCCUGGCACUUCUCUGUCCAGCCUCCCUCCUCUCUACCCUCCAGAUUAGAGACUGAGCCUGAUGCCGUUUGAGCACUCAGUUGGGUGGGGAAAGAGUACUCCUCCUCCCUCAUGUGCCUCUUGAACUGUUUGGAAAAUUGAAGGCUUUCACUUUCUGAUCAGAGACAGGAUCAAAGUGGGCAGUGGGUUUUUUGUUUGUUUGUUUGUUUGUUUGUUUUUUCUCAGCAUGACAUCUCAUAGAUUCCACAAAGACAGAAGAACAUUGACGAGUCUUGGAUGUCUCUGGGCUCUUGAAUUCCCAUCGCAUUGGCAUCAAAGAACUGAAUAAGACACUGUUCCGCCACAAAACGGUGCUGGAUGCUGAACCAUCAUCUUCUCAGGAUAAUAUUUUCAACUGAUUAAUGCGAAAUACAACUAAGAAACACAACUUCCUACGUGGUAUGAAGUCACUCUGCUCUUCUGCCUGAGAAAAUUGUCAGAAUAGAAAUGGAGUCACGAAUGUUCACAAAACCCUGACCAAUAGGAUUGGAGAAGUCCUGAAGAGAAGAUUUUUGGGCUUGCAUGCCUGAUUUAAAAAAAAAAAGAGACUACAAAAACCACAGCCUUGCUCAGAGGACAUCGCCAGGGUACACAAAAAAGACAUUUGCAAGGACAUCUCCCCAGUAACCUCCUGUUUAACUUCGGACUGGUGUCACCCUUGUUAUUGAUAUUUCUAACCACAGAUAAUUAUUUCAAAACAAUUAUGUAAUUCUUCUUAUUUUUUUCCUUUAAAAACCUUUGUCUUCCUUUACCUCUCUGAAUACGCACUUACUUUUUACUAUGGCACACGUAUUCCCAUUGCAAUGCUUUAUUCCCAAAUAAAUUUCUUUUAGAGAGCUUGUCUCGGUUUAUUUCAGUUGACACCAAAUUUUCUAUGUGUAAGUGAAAAAAAGGUAGGGGGGAAUCAUAAAGUGUCAAAAUGGAGAGAUGUCUUCCAGAUGGUUCAGUCCAGUCCCUGUGUCUUACUAAAGGAGACUAAGCAUGUUAACACACACACACAAACACACACACACACACACACUCCAACC